UACGUAGGGGGCAAGCGUUGUCCGGAAUCAUUGGGCGUAAAGCGCGUGUAGGCGGUUCGAUAAGUCUGCUGUGAAAGUCCAGGGCUCAACCCUGGGAUGCCGGUGGAUACUGUCGGACUAGAGUACGGAAGAGGCGAGUGGAAUUCCCGGUGUAGCGGUGAAAUGCGCAGAUAUCGGGAGGAACACCAGUGGCGAAGGCGGCCUUCUGGACCAGUACUGACGCUGAGGCACGAAAGCGUGGGGAGCAAACAGG
rnacentral:rRNA from 1 species